UGGGUUGUGGCUCAGUAGUAAGAGCGCUUGUCUCGCAUGUGUGGAGAACUGGGUUCAAUCCUCAGCACCACAA
rnacentral:tRNA from 1 species